rnacentral:pre_miRNA from 1 species
AUAUUACUCCCUCCGUCCGAAAAUACUUGUCAUUGAAAUGGAUGUAUCUAGAUGUAUUUUAGUUCUAGAUGCAUCCAUUUUCAUCCAUUUUGAUUACAAGUAAUUCCGGACAGAGGGAGUACAAC